rnacentral:lncRNA from 1 species
UAGUUAGAGAUAAAUAAAAAGGACUGAGAUUACCAGAGUGUAAGUAUAAUGUAUUUCAGCCAUCCCUGGCUGCACAGGGCAUUUUUGCUUAAAGAAUUUGUUCACGUAUGUACAGCUUAAAUAACAUUGCUGUUUUUACUCAGUCUUUUUCAUUAAUAACAAUGAUGAACCUUUCAAAAGUUUCUAGCCACAAAAAUACAUAAUUUCAGAAAUCUUCUGGUUCAUCUUCCAUAUAUUCUGCCAUAUUCACUAGGGCAAGAUAAUAUAAACCUUUUGGCAGCCCAUCAAGGCAUUCACUUCUUUUAAUUUUAAGGCCAAACAUAUACUGCAUAGAAAAGUAUGAUACAUGGAACAACAUAAUUUUACAUGGAACAACAUAAUUUUACAUGGAACAACAUAAUUUUACUUAGUAAAUUUUUUUUUUCAUGAAAAAUAUAUCCCAACUCCUUUGUCUUGGGAUUACAUUAGAAAAAUAUGAGGUAAUUAUACUGUGUACUAUGACCUUAGGCUAUGAGCCUUAAAAUUACCUUAAAAUACAAACAAAAAAAUAAUGUUUACUUUUAAAUAUAGUUUUUAUAUUUCAAAACAUUCAAAUCAAAUCCCACAGCAAUCAAUGACACAAAAAAGAUGAGAAAAACAACUGCAGUUUUGGUGCCUCAUCAUGACAUUUCAAUACCUGCUGUAGAUUGCCUGUGGCUUCCACUUUUAACUUAAAAAAAUGAUAAUUUUU